AGGUCAGUAGUUCAGUUGGUAGAGCGUCGGUCUCCAAAACCGAAUGUCGGGGGUUCGAGUCCCUCCUGACCUG
rnacentral:tRNA from 1 species